rnacentral:lncRNA from 1 species
AAAAAAAAAGAAUCCUCAGGAGCUCCUGAAUGCAGUGGUCCUGGGGUAUCUAUCAUGCUCAAACUCCGGUAAGUAGGUCCACACCUGUAUGAGAAAACAUAAACUAAUACUAUGUGAGACAAUAAUAUUCCCUAUUAGACACAUGCAAUAUUGUGACUAUUUUCUAAAAUUAACCUAUGUGGCUAAAAUGCAAGAUUUGGCUAAGACCACGCGCAGCCAAGACCCUAAUAUUUGCUAGGAAGACCGGACCCUAUCUGGGUUGCCUACAUAUCACGCCCCGAGAGACGAAAAUCGGGUUCGCGUAGUUCGGGCCGAUUGGAUACGGGCUAGAAUUUAAAAAAAAACUAAUUUAGAGAAAACAUAUGUUUUUGCUUUUUCUUUGAAAAUGAUGAAACAUGCAAAAUCUUUUUGGAUUUUCCUUUUUCCUCAAAUUUUGAUUUUCUGAUUUACGAAAAAUGAUCAAAAGUGCAAAAUCUUUUGAAUUUUUCAUGCUUUCCCUUAAUUAAAAAAAACAUAGCUAGGCCAUUAUUGCUUUAUUUUCACACUUUACCCUUUUUUUUCUUUUUCCUUCUUUUUCUCAUUUUCAUUUUCAUUUGCCUUCAACUAUCAUUGGUCCGCCAAAUGACCCUUUUAUCCUUAAAUAAAUGCAACAUGUAGCACAUAGAAUGCAUCAAGAUGGUUUGUUCAUUUCACGUUGCUUGUCCUAGACGGACCCUACCCCAUGUUGAGUCCCCUAAGUCAAAAUGCACUUGAUGCAAACAAGCGUUCCUACUAGGGGUCCGGCAUGAGGCUGAGUAAUUCUAGGUUCAAAAAUUGGGUGUUUGUUCAUGACCUGGCUUACCCGAUUGGACAGCUCGAGCCGAGGGGGAAGUGUCAAUCCGGGAAUACAGAAGCUUCGCCGGCUUUUCGACUUAUCCAAUCCUCAUUCUAAAUUGGGAUUUUGAUACUAGACAGAACCCUUCUUCACAAUUCAGAAGACUCAGAGAGGAGACUUGGUUCGGCACAGUUUAUAUACAGAUCACAUAAUAUCAAAGCGGUAAAAGCAGUCAAUUAGCACAUUAGGCACAUAUCAUGUAACAAA